rnacentral:rRNA from 1 species
GAUGAACGCUGGCGGCAUGCCUAAUACUUGCAAGUCGAGCGAAGCGGGGACAGGUGAGUAACACGUGUAUAACCUCCUAUAAGACUGGGAUUACUUAGGGAAACCGGAGCUAACACCGCUACUUAUCGCGGGAUCCGCUGUGCAUUAGCUAGUUGGUAAGUUAACGUCUUACCAAGGCAACGAAGCAUAGCCGACCGGAGAGGGUGAUCGGCCACACGGGAAAUGAGACACGGUCCAGACUCCUACGGGAGGCAGCAGUGGGGAAGCUUCCGCAAUGGGCGAAAGCCUGACGGAGCAACGCCGCGUGAGUGAGGAAGGUCUUCGGGUCUUAAAACUCUGUUAUUAGGGAAGCGUUACCUACUCAGAAAGCCACGGCUAACUACGUGCCAGCCGCCGCGGUAAUAC